GAUGAACGCUGGCGGCGUGCCUAAUACAUGCAAGUCGAGCGAACGGACGAGAAGCUUGCUUUUCUGAUGUUAGCGGCGGACGGGUGAGUAACACGUGGAUAACCUACCUAUAAGACUGGGAUAACUUCGGGAAACCGGAGCUAAUACCGGAUAAUAUUUUGAACCGCAUGGUUCAAAAGUGAAAGACGGUCUUGCUGUCACUUAUAGAUGGAUCCGCGCUGCAUUAGCUAGUUGGUAAGGUAACGGCUUACCAAGGCAACGAUGCAUAGCCGACCUGAGAGGGAGGUCGGCCACACUGGAACUGAGACACGGUCCAGACUCCUACGGGAGGCAGCAGUAGGGAAUCUUCCGCAAUGGGCGAGAGCCUGACGGAGCAACGCCGCGUGAGUGAUGAAGGCCUUCGGAUCGUAAAACUCUGUUAUUAGGGAAGAACAUAUGUGUAAGUAACUGUGCACAUCUUGACGGUACCUAAUCAGAAAGCCACGGCUAACUACGUG
rnacentral:rRNA from 1 species